AGAUGUCAGGGUGAUCUGGCUGUGACAUCUGUCACCCCACUGUUCACCUGGGUUGAUUCGGCUGAUCUGUCUGGCUAGGCAGGUGACCCCUUCCCCCCCUCAAUGAUCCAUGUACGUCCCUCCUGAACCUGCGCACUCAGUUGAAGAGGACGAGCACCCCCCAAUAGAGGAGCACCAUUCCUCAGUCAAGGAAUGGAAUAAUAAAUGCAAUAAAAAUAAAUAUUUUUAAAAAAAAAGGAUCACAUUUAUUUGUUU
rnacentral:sRNA from 1 species